rnacentral:rRNA from 1 species
GACGAACGCUGGUGGCGUGCUUAACACAUGCAAGUCGAACGGGAUUUAGUAAACAGACGCCUCGGUGGAAGAUUACUAAUGAGAGUGGCGAACGGGUGAGUAACGCGUGAGCAACCUGCCUAUGACAGUGGGAUAGCCUCGGGAAACCGGGAUUAAUACCGCAUAAAAUCGUAGAAACACAUGUUUUAACGGUCAAAGAUUUAUCGGUCAUAGAUGGGCUCGCGUCUGAUUAGCUAGUUGGUGAGAUAACAGCCCACCAAGGCGACGAUCAGUAGCCGGUCUGAGAGGAUGAACGGCCACAUUGGAACUGAGACACGGUCCAAACUCCUACGGGAGGCAGCAGUGGGGAAUAUUGCACAAUGGGGGAAACCCUGAUGCAGCGACGCCGCGUGAACGAAGAAGGUAUUCGUAUCGUAAAGUUCUGUCCUAUGGGAAGAUAAUGACAGUACCAUAGAAGAAAGCGCCGGCUAAAUACGUG